AAUCAACGCUGGCGGCGUGCCUCAGACAUGCAAGUCGAACGAUUAAAGCUCUCUUCGGAGAGUGCAUAGAGUGGCGCACGGGUGAGUAACACGUAAGUAAUCUACCUUUGAGUGGGGAAUAACGUCCGGAAACGGACGCUAAUACCGCAUAAUGCAGCGGCAUCGCAAGAUGACAGUUGUUAAAGAUUUAUCGCUUGAAGAGGAGCUUGCGGCAGAUUAGCUAGUUGGUAAGGUAAUGGCUUACCAAGGCUACGAUCUGUAACCGGUCUAAGAGGACGGUCGGUCACACUGACACUGAAUAACGGGUCAGACUCCUACGGGAGCAGCAGUCGGGAAUUUUGGGCAAUGGGCGAAAGCCUGACCCAGCAACGCCGCGUGAAGGAUGAAGUAUUUCGGUAUGUAAACUUCGAAAGAAUGGGAAGAAUAAAUGACGGUACCA
rnacentral:rRNA from 1 species